AUAAGCGGUCGCCGAAAACGCUCCCGCCUUUUCGUUCGUGCCCUUGGAGCGGGUGAGGCCACCAUGGAGGCGACACCGGCACCGCGACCCCGCCGGCAGCUCCGGGACCCCGCCAGGGCUGCGGUAACGCCUCCCCGCAGAAAGAAGAAUAAGAAUAAUAAUUUACUUCUUGUCUUGAAGUAAAGAAUAAGAGCCUGGGCUUCCCAUGUGGAUGUGACACAACAGGACAGGGGACAGGUGGGGAGCUGGCCCUGAUGUGCAGGUAGAGCCUGCAGGUCUCUGCUGCCACAUGCUGGUUGUUGAUGUGCACCCACUGAAGAGACAGCUCUUCACGAGUCCUGUGGAGGGCACUGACACAGCAGAGCAGGACAGUGCUGGGUGGUGCUGCUGGAAACGUCUCUGAGGCAGAAGGACUCCCAACAAAACACCUGAGCUUGAGGAUUUUGUGUAGACACAUUUUUCUGCCUGUUACAAAGUGGUGACAGUUAAAAGUGUUUUAUUACAUAUACAUUAAAGUAUUUUUUAAACAUUGUGUUCUGUAACUUUACUGCAUUAAGGAGUGACUUUGCAUUCUGCAGCACAUUUUUAAUAAACACACUGGGCACUUCUACAAUGUGCUGUGAAAUGGUGAAGAUGGUCCCAGAUUGCAGAGUGUUUACUGCAGAUAAUGCCAGCAGAGUUUAGUGUGGUAAUUAGAGUUUAAACAAGACACCAAGAGUGUAAUUACUGCAGAGAUCAGCCCUUAAAUACUCUGAGCAGCAAAGGCAGCUGCAUCUGUAGCUUGUUUGCAGGCUUGCUGUUUGUCAUUUUGAUCUCAAACUUGAGUUUAAAGUCUGCUGCAGAGGCAAAGUUCAAGGGUUGGGGGGAAUGUUGGGAACUUGGAGAUGCUUUAAACAAGUUAAAACCCGGCAUUUGAGGCCAAAACUCCCAAUUAGCUUAAUUAUGUCAGUAUAGCUGGCAGGUUAUAACACUUCAGUGCUCCUAAACAUCCAAACUGAUGGUGCCGAGCCUUCUGCCCACUUGGUGUCAGCAAGUGGAAGGUUUUAGGGUGUGGUUUUUGCAAAAGCUUUUUGCUCUUUGCAAAAUUUUUAUUCAUAAUUAAACUUAAUUCCUUAUGAGCCUAUGAUCACUCUGCCAAAGUGGGAUCACAGUGUUCACAGCUCCAAGUGGGAGAGUUUGGAAUUGACUUCACUGGAUUCCAGGUGAAGAUCUGAAUUGCUUUCAAUUUUUAUUUUGACUGAAAGGUGUUGUGAGCUGGUGCUGCUCAUGUGGCAUCACAGGGCAGUGUCCCUGUCCCUUGAAAAGCAGAGGUGGCUCUGAUAUCUGAAGUAUAAAUUCCAUUAAAUGCAGAAUUUCAGGAAUUUCUCUUAAAGUCAGUACUCAGAAAAACAAGCUUAAGUCUUUUUCAGAGAAACCUGGUUCUAAAACAUGCAGGUAAAUUAACCUGGAUUAUUUUCCUGUAAUUGUUACUGUAAUACAUCCAGGGCUUAAUAAAAAACAUUCAGCCUGGGCAAUGGAGUAGGUAAAACAUGUUUGGAAUUAAUUAGUUGCUCUGUAUCUGAAAGGAUUCGAGCAGUAUGAGGAACAGGUUUAAAUAAAAUUUGAAGUUACAUUCUGUUCCCAGUGUUUAAAGAAACAACACUAUUUUUGCCUGCUUUUAAGAGCUUGUGUAUUAGAACAUGUUGAUAUUUCUUACAACAUGCACUGGGAAUAAAAAUGGGUAUAAAGUGAGCAAAAAGCACAAGGAAUCCACCAUUUUUUAAAAUGUGAAUCUGCAGACCAUGAAGGUAAAAGCAGCCACAUGCCCUCAGCAAACAGAAACAACCAGCAAAUUGUUUAAUGAGCUGUUUAAUUUGCUCAAGGAAGGUUUGCUGCAACUUGUUUUAUAAUUCUUGCUUUCUAGUGUUAGAACUCUCUUUGAAACAGAGGAAAAUUGGUCUGGGUAAACUUAAAUACUGAAUUUAUCUGGGUUUAUUGAGGGUGCAGUUGGUGGUAUCUGUUGGAGAGAAGUAUUCACGAGUUACAUUUUAGCAUCACUUGUUUAUUCUAAUCAAAACCAAAGUUCCUCAGCAGGGAUCCUCUAACAGGCUGGGUUUUUUCUGAGAUUAAUGAAUGGAAAAGUGUUAUUUCUGUUAGAAAAUGGUGCCUUUCAAACAAAACAAGUGUCCUCAACAUUUUACUGUGAUCUUCCAGGGGAGCACAGAUCAUUUCAUGGCGCUUGAGGGGAGCGGAAAUAAAACCAUUCUGUUUUGAUUACAUUUGGAGCACUUAAAACUUAGUGUUGGGGAAUAAACAGCAGACAAAAAUCUGGUUUUAAAACACAAUUAUUUUGGAUUUUCUAAAGGUUUAAAAAGAACAGUUGGCAGGAAUCCCUUUGGCACUCAACAGCAGCCAACAGCCCCCGGAUAAAUCGAAAAUAGAUGAAAAGAUUAAAGCAGAAAGAAAGAAAAUAUGCAGCAAAGCAAAGAAUGGCCGAGUGCCAACUUUUAGCAAUAAGAGAGAUGGCAAUGCCAUGUCUCAAAUCACUGAGAGAAAACAUGAAGAUUAUCCCCAAAAUACGUGUUGUGGCUGUGGAGCUGAUGGAGAGGGGCUGGAAUUGUGGAGGAGGAGGAGGAGAGGGAUCGACAGGGGCAGAGCUGCCUCGCUGCUCCCUCACUAAAUCACAAGCUUCACGUUUCACAUAAAUGCUUGUUAUCAUCCUUAUUUCUUGAUUAGUAUUGCAAAGCAAUCAUAUCUACAUCAGCACGAGAGUAAUCACUCAUGCAAAGCCAUAAAUUACUAUAAUUAAUACAUCCCAGCUAUUAAUGGCAAUGUAAAGAGGAGCUCUCUCUUGGCUUGGUGUGCCAGCUGAGGCAGUUUGAGCUGUAUCUACUUAAUUAGAAGGGAGGAAGGGAUAUCCUGUGUGUCUGAGCUCUGCAGAAUUCAAUAAAUCCUAAAUACUGACACUUCUCUCCUUUUCCCCUCAGAGCAUGAGGAAGAGCUGUUAAUUUUCCAACUCCAUUUCAGAGAAGUGAGGCACAAAGGAGCUGCUGUGUUCCAGCAAGGAAGAACUUUGGUGUCAUGCAAGAAAAGUGUCACAGCCAUGGCAGUAAAUAAUAAACCCUUUGUGCUGAGUGAAAUCCAGGGGAUACCUGCUGGGAAGAUGAUGGGAAUUGUUUCAAAGCUGGGAGAGAGGUGGGAGCUUUGAAAUGCACAGUGAUGAGAAGCUCCUGCACCAAGGUACCUGCACUUUGAAUUUAAUUUAAUUUAAUCUAUCCAGUCACCUCCCCACCAGCCUGUUUGCUGCUGUGCUUUGGAGGAAGAUGCUCUGUGCUUGCAGGAGGUGAAAUAAAGCAUCAGUGUCAGGGCCAGGCUGUUUGGAAAUGCAAAACAGGAGCUGCAUCAAGGGCGAGGGAUUUCAAAGGUGCUACUUUUAUGCUUCAAAAAGGUCUUUGGAGAUGACAGCAACAACGUGGUGUCACUUGGCAACAGGUCAGAGGCUAAAGCUGAGGCAAAGGAGGGGUUUCAGGGAGGAGAACGGGGCUGAAGAAUCACCAACACCAAAAUGGUUUGAAGAAUGGAUGUGACUCCAGGGUGAGGGAACAGCUUUGGUGGUGGCUGCCCCUGCCCUGGAAGUUCAGCCCAUUUUGGGGGUUGGCACAGAAAAAGGAUAAUAUUUGCAUUUCAGCCCCCAGCUCUGCUGUUUCUGUGCCUGUGCUGGAGGGGAGCUCUGAGCCUGCAGGAAAGCACAGCUUGGGAAAAUCCUGAGCCUUGGAAGUGAUCAUUUAACAAGCAGGAUCUGAGGACGCCUCCUGAUGCUGAAAGACUGAAUUCUCAGGGGAUAAAAGGAGCUCAAAUUAACCUCCAGCCGUGGGAUAUCCCUGAGAUCAUGGACUUUGUGGGAGGUCCCAAGUGGACAGAGAACUGCUGUGGCUGAGAACAUCUAAAAUCAUGCUAGGAUUUAAAAAAAAAUAAAAAUAAAUUGGCUGUGGACUAACUGAGUUUCAGAACAAACAGAAUUCUGCAACUCACCCAGAUGGAGUGACCAGAAUUGGAGUUGCCAAAUUCUCCAAAAUUUAGAGACAGGAAGUUCUUCCUUUGGGCUCAUCCUCAUUUUUUUAGUGAGUUGACACACACCCAGUGUGGGCACUGCUGUGAUUGCUCCUGAGCUGCUCCAGCUCCUCGGUCACAAAGGUUUGGAGCUUUAUAAACAGCACAGUUUGAAGCCUCUGUUCCUCAGAGCUUGGGAAAAUCUCCCUCCUUAGAGAUUCCCAGGGUAAAGAGGAUUUUUAAAAUACAUAAAUUUCAAAAUAUGGAAUAUUAAAGCCCCUUUUGAGCUUUCAAAUAAAUUCAUUAAAAAUUCCUAAGUCUUUGCUGUUAAAAAAGCACCAGUGGAGAUUAAUUAUUGUUCUCUCUUCUUGUUCCAAGAGCCUUCCCAGUUUUGCCAAGGUUUGCACUUUUCAUGUCAUAAACUCCAGACAUCCCUGCUGUAACAUCAUCCCUGUGCUACCCAAAUUCCAGCCUGUUCCUCCUGCAAACUCUUGGAUUUUGGGGGUUGGGAAGGGCAGGUUGCUCAGCCUGGAGCUCCUCACUCUGGCCCUGACAUGUGACAUCAAAAUUAACUUUAUUUUGGCCAUUUAUAGAAUAAUUGUGCCUGCUGGGAAUGCUCUGUGGGAAUCACAACCCUAAACAGCAUCUCCAAAAAAAAAAUAUCCCCAAACAUUUGGGCUGUUCCUUGGAUUCAGCACAGGAAUUUUUAAGCAUCUUAAGAGCAAACCUGAAGGGAAAGCUAAAAUUGUCCCUGAAUCUGCCUGUGGCAGCAGGAUCCCCACAGUGACCUCCUGUGCUGCUCCAGGAAUAGCUCUGCGCUCUCACAGCUUCCCAAAUUCCCAAAUCCCCAAAUCCCUGCCUUUUCCUUGGCUCCACACCAAGCUCCAGGCCUGCCCCACCUCCAUCCCAGGCAGAAGCUGGGGGUGUUUGAUGGGAAAAGGGAAUUCUGUGCUCUGGGGACUGGCAGGGCUCAUGGAAGGAUCGCUGGCAUCAGGAAAGUCUCGAUCCAUAAAUCCUUCCCAGCAGAAGGAUAAAAGUCAGGAGCUGAGGUUUACAGUUCUUUACUAAACCUGUGGAUUCCUGGAAUGGUUUGGGCUGGGGAGGGAAGGGAAAGGUUCUUGCUCUGUUUCAGAACCAUCAUUUUCCUCCCCUUCUUUUUUUUUUUUUUUUCUUUUAUUUCCUGCUAAACAAAAUGCUAAAAAUAAGCACUUGGGAGCCAUCAAAAUGCUUUGCUGUAAUGAUAACUCUAUUUAAUUUAGUGAAAUAAACAAAAGUAAAUCUCUUG